rnacentral:rRNA from 1 species
GACGAACGCUGGCGGCGUGCUUAACACAUGCAAGUCGAACGGAAAGGCCCUGCUUUUGUGGGGUGCUCGAGUGGCGAACGGGUGAGUAACACGUGAGUAACCUGCCCUUGACUUUGGGAUAACUUCAGGAAACUGGGGCUAAUACCGGAUAGGAGCUCCUGCUGCAUGUUGGGGGUUGGAAAGUUUCGGCGGUUGGGGAUGGACUCGCGGCUUAUCAGCUUGUUGGUGGGGUAGUGGCUUACCAAGGCUUUGACGGGUAGCCGGCCUGAGAGGGUGACCGGCCACAUUGGGACUGAGAUACGGCCCAGAAUCCUACGGGAGGCAGCAGUGGGGAAUAUUGCACAAUGGGCGGAAGCCUGAUGCAGCAACGCCGCGUGCGGGAUGACGGCCUUCGGGUUGUAAACAGAUUUCGAAUGUGACGAAGCGUGAGUGACGGUAAUGGGUAAAGAAGCACCGGCUAACUACGUG